UCUAUAUGCUUGUGCAGGCUCUAAGCUGUAGCCACGGGGAUGGCUUUAAGAUUCAUGGACUUUAGCAGGAAGAGAGGCACUUUUUGGGUCAGACUUUUCCAAUUCAGGAGGCUUGUUCCUAUAAUCUCAAAUCGGUACCUAUUCAAAAUUGGCCAAAAAGCCUGAUAAAUCUCAGGAUAUUGCAAUCUGUGGGUGAGUCUC
rnacentral:lncRNA from 1 species